rnacentral:rRNA from 1 species
UACGGGGGGGGUAAGCGUUGUUCGGAAUCACUGGGCUUAAAGGGCGCGUAGGCGGUCCGACAAGUCAGGGGUGAAAUCCUGCAGCUUAACUGCAGAAGUGCCUUUGAUACUGUCGGUCUUGAGGGAGAUAGGGGUGUGCGGAACUCACAGUGGAGCGGUGAAAUGCGUUGAUAUUGUGAGGAACGCCGGAGGCGAAAGCGGCGCACUGGAUCUCUUCUGACGCUGAGGCGCGAAAGCUAGGGGAGCAAACGGG